rnacentral:rRNA from 1 species
GGGUGAGUAAUACAUCGGAACGUGCCUAGUAGUGGGGGAUAACUACUCAAAAGAGUAACUAAUACCGCAUGAGAUCUACGGAUGAAAGCAGGGGACCUUCGGGCCUUGUGCUACUAGAGCGGCUGAUGGCAAAUUAGGUAGUUGGUGGGGUAAAGGCUUACCAAGCCUGCGAUCUGUAGCUGGUCUGAAAGGACGACCACCCACACUGGGACUGAGACACGGCCCAAACUCCUACGGGAGGCAGCAGUGGGGAAUUUUGGACAAUGGGCAAAAGCCUGAUCCAGCAAUGCCCCGUGCAGGAUGAAGGCCCUCGGGUUGUAAACUGCUUUUGUACGGAACGAAAAGCCUGGGGCUAAUAUCCCCGGGUCAUGACGGUACCGUAAGAAUAAGCACCGGCUAACUACGUGCCAGCAGCCGCGGUAAUACGUAGGGUGCAAGCGUUAAUCGGAAUUACUGGGCGUAAAGCGUGCGCAGGCGGUUUUGUAGACAGUGGUGAAAUCCCCGGGCUCACCUGGGAACUGCCAUUGUGACUGC